rnacentral:rRNA from 1 species
UACGAAGGGUGCAAACGUUGCUCGGAAUCAUUGGGCGUAAAGCGCACGUAGGCGGCCCAGCAAGUUGGAUGUGAAAUCCCUCGGCUCAACCGAGGACGUGCAUCCAAAACUGCUGGGCUUGAGUACUGAAGAGGAUCGCGGAAUUCCCGGUGUAGAGGUGAAAUUCGUAGAUAUCGGGAGGAACACCUGUGGCGAAAGCGGCUCACUGGACCACAACUGACGCUGAGGCGCGAAAGCUAGGGGAGCAAACAGG